rnacentral:lncRNA from 1 species
AUGAAGGCACAGCCCUCGUUAAUGGGAUUAGUGCCCUUAUAAAAGAGGCCCAAAAGUGCUUGUUAGCCUAUUCUACCAUGUGAGGAUGCACCGAGAACCUGCCAUCGAUGAAGCAGAGUGAGUCCUCACCAGACAGAAUCUACUGGCACCUGAAUCUUGGACUUCCCUGUCUCUAGAGCUGGAAGAAACACAUUUCUGUUGUUUACAAUUACCUAGUCUAAGGUAUUUUGUUAUAGCAGCCCAAAUGGACUAAUUUUUCCUUUUC